rnacentral:rRNA from 1 species
UACAGAGGGGGCGAGCGUUGUUCGGAAUUACUGGGCGUAAAGGGCGCGUAGGCGGCCCGCUAAGUCGAACGUGAAAUCCCCGGGCUCAACCCGGGAACUGCGUCCGAUACUGGCAGGCUUGAAUCCGGGAGAGGGAUGUGGAAUUCCAGGUGUAGCGGUGAAAUGCGUAGAUAUCUGGAGGAACACCGGUGGCGAAGGCGGCAUCCUGGACCGGUAUUGACGCUGAGACGCGAAAGCGUGGGGAGCGAACAGG